rnacentral:rRNA from 1 species
AGCGAACGCUGGCGGCAGGCCUAACACAUGCAAGUCGAACGGACCCUUCGGGGGUUAGUGGCGGACGGGUGGGUAACACGUGGGAACGUGCCUUUUGGUUCGGAACAACUCAGGGAAACUUGAGCUAAUACCGAAUGUGCCCUUCGGGGGAAAGAUUUAUCGCCAUUAGAGCGGCCCGCGUCUGAUUAGCUUGUUGGUGAGGGAAUGGCUCACCAAGGCGACGAUCAGUAGCUGGUCUGAGAGGAUGAUCAGCCACAUUGGGACUGAGACACGGCCCAAACUCCUACGGGAGGCAGCAGUGGGGAAUCUUGCGCAAUGGGCGAAAGCCCGACGCAGCCAUGCCGCGUGAAUGAUGAAGGUCUUAGGAUUGUAAAAUUCUUUCACCGGGGACGAUAAUGACGGUACCCGGAGAAGAAGCCCCGGCUAACUUCGUGCCAGCCGCCGCAGUAAGAC